rnacentral:lncRNA from 1 species
UAUUAUCUAAUUUAGCCCCCGGUAAAUUAUAUAUAGGCAUACAUAUUACAUAACAAAUGGUCGAAGAAAAUUCAUUAGAAACGGUUGCUUCUUUACUUCCAUUUUCAUCGACAGUGUUGCUCCACGUGUCCUUUCCUGUUUUUUUUUUUAAAUGUGCAACACAUUGUAUUUAUUUAUUGGGAUAUUAUUAUUUUACUACUAAAAUUUUAUUGACAUAUCAUAUCAGUACUAAGAUUUACCGAAAAGUGCAUUUUACUGCCAAAGUUUUGCAAUAAUUACAAUAUUGAACUUAGUGUGCCUACUAAUUAUAUUGGAUGUAAUUAAUUUAUAUGCAAUAAUUAAUUAUCAUCAGAAUCAUUAACAUAAUAUUUGAUUACUUAGUAAAUAUUUUGAGUUACUAAUGUAAUCAAAUAAUUAUCAGGAUUAACAUAAUCAAAUAAUUAUUUUGAAUCUUUUUUUAUAGUAUUUGCAUCCAUAAAUCAAUUAAAUUUAUAUGCAAUAAUUACAAUAUUGAACUUAGUGUGCCUAAUAAUUAUAUUGGAUGUAAUUAAUUUGGUCAGCUAUGUUAGCUAGUGAGUCAUUUCAUCUAUACUGGUAAAUGGACCUACACGUUAAAGAUAGAUACUGCCAAUUUUUUUAAUUUCCCAUUUGCUCACUUAAAAAACAUGAUUAAUAAUGCUAGCUGAAAUCUACAUCAUCGAGAUCACCUUCUAAUAGCCCCAAAAAAAAAAAAACAAUUGUUUGCAAAUGGCUCAAAUAAAGGAAUAAAUGAAAAAUAAGGAAAUUCAAAUAACAUCAUUUUUAAUUUUGAUGAAAGUAAUUGGAU